GAUGAACGCUGGCGGCGUGCCUAAUACAUGCAAGUCGAGCGAAUGGAUUAAGAGCUUGCUCUUAUGAAGUUAGCGGCGGACGGGUGAGUAACACGCGGGUAACCUGCCCAUAAGACUGGGAUAACUCCGGGAAACCGGGGCUAAUACCGGAUAACAUUUUGAACCGCAUGGCUCGAAAUUGAAAGGCGGCUUCGGCUGUCACUUAUGGAUGGACCCGCGUCGCAUUAGGUAGUUGGUGAGGUAACGGCUCACCAAGGCAACGAUGCGUAGCCGACCUGAGAGGGUGAUCGGCCACAGUGGGACUGAGACACGGCCCAGACUCCUACGGGAGGCAGCAGUAGGGAAUCUUCCGCAAUGGACGAAAGUCUGACGGAGCAACGCCGCGUGAGUGAUGAAGGCUUUCGGGUCGUAAAACUCUGUUGUUAGGGAAGAACAAGUGCUAGUUGAAUAAGCUGGCACCUUGACGGUACCUAACCAGAAAGCCACGGCUAACUACGUGCCAGCCGCCGCAGUAA
rnacentral:rRNA from 1 species